GCGAUCUGCCUGCCUGGGCCUCCCGAAGUGCUCUGAUUACAGGUGUGAGCCACUGUGUCUGACCUAGACAAGAGCACUGACUAAAGAUAAUCACAUUUACUCUCUAGAUCUCAGUUAUCUCAUUUAAAUAAUGAGACACCUGGACUUUUGGGGUUCUUUCUAUUUCUAAGGAUCUGUGCUUCCAAGUGCAAGAUAACUGUAAGCUUCUUGAGGGCAGGGAUCAUACUUCAUGUACAACUGAAUUUCCCAUUAAAUUUGUUACAGUUUUAACUCAUAAUAUCACACAAUACAUAUUUAUUGAAUGGUCUAAUGAAUUCAGAUUAAAUUGGCUUCAGCUUGGGAUACAAAAUGGCUCCCCAGGGCAAUGGGAAAAUAGGCCUGGGAAUUUCUUUCUUAUUUAUUUAUUUUUUUAUUUUUUUGAGACAGGGUCUCACUCUGCCACCCAGGCUGGACUGCAGUGGUGCCAUCAUAGCUCACCACAUCCUCAACCUCCUGGGUUCAAACACUCCUCUCGCCUCAGCCCCCCAAGUGGUGGAACCACAGGUGUGUGCCACCAUGGGUGGCUAAUUUUUAAAUUUUUUGUAGAGACAGGGUCUUACUUAGUUGCCCAAGCUGGUCUUGAACUCCUGUCCUCUAGGAAUCCUCCUGCCUCUGCCUCCCAAAGAGCUGGGACUACAGGCAUGAGCCACUGCGCCCUGCUGGAAUUCUCACCCCGACUGUCACUGGGUGAUAUCAUGAAGUGAUGGUCCAAGGAGAGGUAUAUGCAGUCUUGAUGCUCAAGAACAGAGAUGACUCAUAUAUUCUCACAUAUGCCAUAAUUAGUGGAUGAGAUCCGAAUUACGAGCUGGCUACAUACUGCCUCCUAUUCCUCCUCGAGUUUCCUGCUCUCUCCUUCUUUAGGUAUUUCCAGCUCUGAAAAGCCUGUUUUACUUCAUUCUCUUACCAAAGAGUUUGGUGACACAAAAUGAAAAGUUUGAUGGACAAUCUGGAAGAGUCCCACUAAGCAACACAAGAAAUACGCUCUCACAAAGGUAAGGUAGGCACAAUUCUCAGCAAAUCUGGUCUAGAUAAGGCCAUAUUUCUGAGUAUGAAAACAUACGCACACACGUGCAUGCACACACCACACACAGAUGCACACACAAUUUUUACACAGUCACCCUGCUAUAAUAGUCUGUACCCAGCUAAGGAUCCAUGCAUAAGAAGGAAGGCUAUGAUAAAAGUAUGGGCAGAAUUUUGGGAGAGAAAUGAAAACGUACUGCCAAGAGAAAAGGAAUGACAUGCCAGGUGGAGAGAAAGAAAAAAGGCACAUGCUGUUUGAAAAAUGCGUUUGAAAAAAAUUACUUGUGUGUGGAAGGGGGAUGAUGAUUGUUUGAAUAUUAAGCUGUUGAAUUCUAAUUCGAUAUAAGAGAGAGCCACUACAGGAUUGUAAGCUGCUGUCAGAUCCUGUGUGCCACAUAUUGUAGUUAUUUGUGCCCAUUUCCAAUGUCCUUAUUAAAUUGUAAGCUCUUUAAGGUCAGGGGCUGGGUUUUGUAGAUUGCACUGAAAAAAAUACAGGAAGUAGAAGGACUGGCAAAGGACCAGUCUCAUUAAUUCUGGUGGUGAUGAAAGGGCACUUUUCUACAACACUUUAACUGAUGAGCUACGCUGUUGCUGAGAAUAAAGACUGUUAUAAGUGUUACUUAAAGUAGCUACUUAACAUUUACAAACUUUCGGUUUUGAAAAUAAAUUAGACUUUGGGAGUCAUGUUUCCCUGGCAAAACUCGAGUUCCACUAGAAUCUGUGUGAGAGACUGAGAAAUAAAAGCUCAUGAAACUUUGGAAACACUUAUGCAAAUGGCAUUUUGAUGAGAUAACUGUAAGUAGAUCAGGAACACAUGGAUUAAAUCUUCCACUGAAUACCCACUGCUUGGGGGAGUAAAGGUCCAGCAUUGUUGCCAUCAUGGAGUUUGGGUUUUGCUGAACUCCUUAUCUUUGGAAAAUCAGUUUGACUGUCAUCAGAUGUAUGCAGCUGUGGGUUUUUCUCAGAUCUGCUUUAUGGUUUUAUGGCUUUCAGAGUGAAGCCAAAAGUCUUCCAACAGUCAUGGCAAGAUGAAGGCCUGGAAAUCUUUGAAAGCAUGUUCCCAGGCAGACCCAUCAUGGUCACUGCUUUUUAUAGUUGGUACCUGCCUAAAGGCCAAAGUUACAAGAAAAACUAAUUUGGGAGUUUGUGUUUAGAGAUUGCCCUGGGUCACAAACUUUGCUGGGAUCUCUUAAAUGGAAAACUUGGCCAUUUCUGGUUUCCCUACAAAUUUAAACUACAAUUUAAAUGGAAAACAAAACUCUCAGAAAUUUCUGAUCUCAUGAACACAAGAGACUCUUGUAAUGCUGUUUCUCAUCUCAGAGGAGAAACAAUCAUGGAAAAGAAUGAAGCAGAGCUUGGAGGUUGAUGAGGUCCUCCUCCAACCAUGCCUCUCUAACACUGGCAGUUUCACAAUGACAAUCAGAGUCACUGUCAUACUUUUGUAGAGAGGUUGGAGGUGAAGCAAAGGCCAGGCAACUUCUAACUUUCAUAUUUUUAAAUUGCAAAGCAGCCUCAGUGAAGAUAGUACAUUUUACAUUUAAGAAAGCAAUGUUCAAUUUGCACACACAGGAUGACUGCAUAUACAAUAUACAUUUCUAUAAAGUGUGUGCAUAUAAAAUUCAAAAGCUCACACACAAAGCAACCUGAUAUUUUCAAAAGGAGUAACCCAUAAAUUCAUAUUUAUGUUCUCUCUAGACCUAUUCAUGUUUUCCAUGUUUCAAAUAUGACUGAACCUGACAUAUAUAAGAACGCAAAAGAUUCUUCAAAAUCAAACUGUGUCCGGAAUUGGUGGGUUCUUGGUCUCACUGACUUCAAGAAUGAAGCCACGGACCCUGGCGGUUGCUAGUAACACAAUAAUAAAGCUGCUUUAUUUUCCAGUGAAGAUGUAUGUGAUAGGGAGUGGAGGAAGAAAAAGGCCAGAAAAUUCCAUAGUUAGCAAAUAUACCUUUCUUACUUAAAAUUCUUUUUCCAAUGUGAGCCUUCUAAAGAGUUACUGAGAAAUUAGGUGAGCUCACCUCAUUUAAUGCAAUAGAUAUGUUUCUGAAAAAUAAGCAAUACAUAGGACAUUGGCCAAUUAAGAAUUCUGAUGAAGAAGAAUUUUCACAUCCGAAAGAGUAAAAAUGAAAAACGGUACAAAUGUAGUGGCUUUUAAAUUUCAAAACAAAUUAUUUUGAUAAGAUAAAUAUUCCUCUCAUAAAGUGAAAAUGGAAGAGACUGCUUGCUGGGUGUUCGUCAAAAUGGAGUUAGAUGGUCUGUCCCAGACUCCCCUGUUGUUAGUUCUGAGAACAGAAGUAAUGGUGCUUCUUCAGGACUGGCUCAUAGAAACCUGCCGUGUUCAGCCCCCACAAUCCUCUCCCUUCUGCUGGCUGGAAACAAAUGACAACGAAGCCUCACGUCUUGGAGAAACCACACUGCUGAGGAACUCAAGUCCUAGAAGAACCAUUUGAAGAGACCCAUCUCACUAAAGAAAAUCACACAAGCAAGAAGUAAACUUCAUUGUAUCUAUGUAUUUAAUUGUCAUAACAGUCUACCUUAACUGAUACAGCAAAAAUUCGCUCCUUUUCUGGACACCCAGUUUCAAAAUCUCAGUGUCAUUUUUUACUUCUCUCUUUUCAGGUUGUUUAAUAUAAUAAAAUUUGUGUGUGUG
rnacentral:lncRNA from 1 species